GGGAACUCAGCAGCACAUAUACUAAAAUUGGAACGACACAGAGAAGAUUAGCAUGGCCCCUGCACAAGAAUGACAUGCAAAUUCGUGAAGCAUUCCAUAUUUUU
ensembl:snRNA U6 U6 spliceosomal RNA